UACAGAGGGUGCGAGCGUUAAUCGGAAUUACUGGGCGUAAAGCGUGCGUAGACGGUUAUUUAAGUCGGAUGUGAAAGCCCCGGGCUCAACCUGGGAAUUGCAUUCGAGACUGAAUAGCUAGGGUGCGGUAGAGGGAAGCGGAAUUUCCGGUGUAGCGGUGAAAUGCGUAGAUAUCUGGAGGAACACCGGUGGCGAAGGCGGCAUUCUGGACCGAUAUUGACGCUGAGGAGCGAAAGCCAGGGGAGCAAACGGG
rnacentral:rRNA from 1 species